AAAUAAACCUGAUGGGUUGUUGCUGGUUCUCUAGGGAGCAUGUGCACGCCUUGUCAUCUUUAUAUCUCCACCUGUGCACUUUUUGUAGACCUUUCAGGUCUAUGUUGCUUCAUUUACCCCAAUGUAUGUCAAUAGAAUGUUGUGCCUAUUUAAUAUAUACAACUUUCAGCAACGGAUCUCUUGGCUCUCGCAUCGAUGAAGAACGCAGCGAAAUGCGAUAAGUAAUGUGAAUUGCAGAAUUCAGUGAAUCAUCGAAUCUUUGAACGCACCUUGCGCUCCUUGGUAUUCCGAGGAGCAUGCCUGUUUGAGUGUCAUUAAUAUAUAUAUCAAACCCUCUUUUGUUAGAGUUGUUUGGAUGUGGGGGUUUGCUGGCCUUGUAAAGGGGUUCAGCUCUCCUGAAAUGCAUUAGCAGAACAAUCCUGUUCAUUGGUGUGAUAACUAUCUACGCUAUUGAAUGUGAGGGGCAGUUCAGCUUUCUAACAGUCCUCGGACAAUUCAUC
rnacentral:rRNA from 1 species